UUUUUCCCUUCCACCAAUUUCUUCAAAUGGCUUUCGUUUCAUCUCUCUUUUAAGAAGAAAAAUCAGAGAGAGAUAGAGAGGGGUGAAGAGGGAGAAUACAUUUGCAGAGAGAGCAAGCGAGACCUCUCUUUACAGCUCUUU